rfam:Bacillus vireti LMG 21834 contig44, whole genome shotgun sequence.
CCCGUGCUACAACCGCACAGAACAGGUAGUAAGCUUUUGUGUUCCUUCGCAAAACGCCUGGAGAUGGCGAGUCUGAGUUUAUAA